GACCCCAGGUCAGGCGGGAUCACCCGCCGAGUUUAA
rnacentral:rRNA from 1 species